CCUACGGGUGGCAGCAGUGGGGAAUAUUGGGCAAUGGGCGCAAGCCUGACCCAGCAACGCCGCGUGAAGGAAGAAGGCUUUCGGGUUGUAAACUUCUUUUCUCAGGGACGAAGAAAGUGACGGUACCUGAGGACUAAGCCACGGCUAACUACGUCCCAGCAGCCUCGGUAAUACGUAGGUGGCAAGCGUUAUCCGGAUUUACUGGGUGUAAAGGGCGUGUAGGCGGGAAAGAAAGUCAGAUGUGAAAACCAUGGGCUCAACCUGUGGCCUGCAUUUGAAACUGUUUUUCUUGAGUACUGGAGAGGCAGACGGAAGUCCUAGUGUAGCGGUGAAAUGCGUAGAUAUUAGGAGGAACACCAGUGGCGAAGGCGGUCUGCUGGACAGCAACUGACGCUGAGGCGCGAAAGCGUGGGGAGCAAACAGGAUUAGAUACCCGAGUAGUC
rnacentral:rRNA from 1 species